GAGCGAUGAUGAAUCCCAGUGCUCACCGUGCGAUCCUGGGUCGAUCACACCCAUCUGACAUCCAGAUGAGAACAGCACCUCUGAGCUC